rnacentral:rRNA from 1 species
CCCUUCGGGGACAGGUAGACAGGUGGUGCAUGGUUGUCGUCAGCUCGUGUCGUGAGAUGUUGGGUUAAGUCCCGCAACGAGCGCAACCCCUAUUGUCAGUUGCCAGCAUUCAGUUGGGCACUCUGGCGAGACUGCCGUUGACAAAACGGAGGAAGGUGGGACGACGUCAAAUCAUCAUGCCCCUUAUGUCCUGGGCUACACACGUACUACAAUGGCAACAACAGAGGGCAGCCAAACCGCGAGGUUGAGCGAAUCCCAAAAUGUUGUCUCAGUUCAGAUUGCAGGCUGCAACUCGCCUGCAUGAAGUCGGAAUUGCUAGUAAUGGCAGGUCAGCAUACUCGCCGUCCGAAUACGUUCCGGCCUU